CUCGUCUGGUGUCAGGUUCUGGUUCUGACCCGGUUUCAUGGCUCCCCCAGUAUAGAGUCCAUAGAUCUGGGUCUGUUCGAGGACCAGCUGGAGGUUCUCCCCAGCGCUGGUGUCCAUUCAGCUUCUGCUGGAAACAGGAAGUAGAAGAACCCCUCGCUGCUCCGCCUCUGCUUUCUGUCAGCCCGUCGUGUUUCUAUGUUUUGGGCGCUGUGCCUUUAAGAGCGGGCAGGGUGUGUGUGUGUGUGUGUGUGUGUGUGUGUGUGUGUGUGUGUGUGUGUGUGUGUGUGUGUGUGUGUGUGUGUGUGUGUGUGUGUGUGAGAGAGAGAGAGAGAGAGAGAGGCCGACAGCUGGGGGUUUAACAGCACUGAGGAGAAACGGGUCAACUGGUUCUGAAACAGGAAAGUUUGAGGCGAGAGAAUCCUGACCCGGCAUGAUCCAGAUCCAGACCCGGUCCAGACCCAGCCGGGUCAUGUCCCUGCCGGUACCUGAAGCGGGUCAGCACCAGCCAGAGGAGCAGGAAUUUGUCCGGGCCUACGAGAACGUCAGAGAGAAACAUAAAGAGAUUCUGUCCGGUUCUGGAUGAUCUGGCGCUCGAUGCCCCCUGCUGGUCUGGAGGAAUUCGCUUCAAUUCAAACUUUAUUAAACAGGAAGCUGCUGUUUAGUGCA